rnacentral:rRNA from 1 species
CCUACGGGAGGCAGCAGUGAGGAAUAUUGGUCAAUGGGCGCGAGCCUGAACCAGCCAAGUAGCGUGAAGGAUGACUGCCCUACGGGUUGUAAACUUCUUUUAUACAAGAGUAAAGUGAGGCACGUGUGCCUUUUUGUAUGUACUUUAUGAAUAAGGAUCGGCUAACUCCGUGCCAGCAGCCGCGGUAAUACGGAGGAUCCGAGCGUUAUCCGGAUUUAUUGGGUUUAAAGGGUGCGUAGAUGGGUGGUUAAGUCAGUUGUGAAAGUUUGCGGCUCAACCGUAAAAUUGCCAUUGAUACUGGCAGGCUAGAGUAUAGUUGAGGUAGGCGGAAUGUGUGGUGUAGCGGUGAAAUGCUUAGAUAUCACGAAGAACACCGAUUGCGAAGGCAGCCUACUAAGCUGCCACUGACAUUGAGGCUCGAAAGUGUGGGUAUCGAACAGGAUUAGAUACCCGUGUAGUC